rnacentral:rRNA from 1 species
AUGGAAGUAACUUCACCCAAGGAACAAUUGCAUGCUGUAUUUCCAGACUGCAGGAACCACGAGGGGGGCCAAGGGGCAAAGGAGGGAGGAACGGGAGGUGCAUCCACAGCCCUGAAUAUUAUUGAAUCCGGUCAAGUGGCUGCUGAUGACAGCGAUCAACAGGCCACAUUGAAAGAAUUCCACAUGAUCGGCUGCUUUGGAGGAGGAGAAGGCCAAGUCGGCCAGUCCAACGGCGCCAUGCUGGACCCCGUGCCACGCCAUCCAAAUUCCUCUUGCAGAAAAGAAACGCACCGACCUGGCCGCCCACAUCCGACCCGUCAUCCUCCACGGCGCCUCAAGAAAUUAUAA